UACGGAGGGUGCAAACGUUGCUCGGAAUCAUUGGGCGUAAAGCGCACGUAGGCGGCCCAGCAAGUCGGGUGUGAAAGCCCUCGGCUUAACCGAGGAAGUGCAUUCGAAACUACUGAGCUUGAAUACUGGAGAGGAUCGUGGAAUUCCCGGUGUAGAGGUGAAAUUCGUAGAUAUCGGGAGGAACACCAGUGGCGAAGGCGGCGAUCUGGACAGAUAUUGACGCUGAGGUGCGAAAGCGUGGGGAGCAAACAGG
rnacentral:rRNA from 1 species